rnacentral:rRNA from 1 species
AACAUCUAAGUACCCCGAGGAAAAGAAAUCAACCGAGAUUCCCCCAGUAGCGGCGAGCGAACGGGGAGCAGCCCAGAGUCUGAAUCAGCUUGUGUGUUAGUGGAACGGUCUGGAAAGUCCGACGGUACAGGGUGAUAGUCCCGUACACCAAAAUGCACAGGUUGUGAACUCGAAGAGUAGGGCGGGACACGUGGUAUCCUGUCUGAAUAUGGGGGGACCAUCCUCCAAGGCUAAAUACUCCUGACUGACCGAUAGUGAACCAGUACCGUGAGGGAAAGGCGAAAAGAACCCCGGCGAGGGGAGUGAAAAAGAACCUGAAACCGU